UACGGAGGAUGCAAGCGUUAUCCGGAAUGAUUGGGCGUAAAGCGUCCGCAGGUGGCGAUGUAAGUCUGCUGUUAAAGAGUGAGGCUCAACCUCAUAAGAGCAGUGGAAACUACAUAGCUAGAGUACGUUCGGGGCAGAGGGAAUUCCUGGUGUAGCGGUGAAAUGCGUAGAGAUCAGGAAGAACACCAGUGGCGAAGGCGCUCUGCUAGGCCGUAACUGACACUGAGGGACGAA
rnacentral:rRNA from 1 species